GGGGCUGUAGUUCAGUGGCAGAUCGCAUGCUGAACAUGUAUGAAGUCCGGGGUUUAAUUCUCUGCAUCUCCA